rnacentral:rRNA from 1 species
CACGUAAGUUGCGAGCGUUGUUCGGAAUUAUUGGGCGUAAAGGGUAUGUAGGCGGUUCUGCAAGUCUGGUGUGAAAUUCCGGGGCUCAACCCCGGGACUGCGUUGGAAACUGCGGGACUUGAAUCGCUGAGGGGCAGCCAGAAUUCCAGGUGUAGGGGUGAAAUCUGUAGAUAUCUGGAAGAAUACCAAUGGCGAAGGCAGGCUGCCAGCAGAUGAUUGACGCUGAGGUACGAAGGUGCGGGGAGCAAAC